AUGCCUAUGUUAUCCUGUAGUAAUGCAUAUGCUACACCGGGAUUCCUAAUAACUUACCAUUAUCUUCUUGACCAAAAUGAUGGGACCGGCACCCUCGCGCCAAGGCGCGAUCCCGAUCUAGUACAGCAACAUUGGCAGGGGCCGGGCGCAACUACGGUUGCAGGUUUAUGGGCAAAAAUUAGUGCUCUUACAAAGGGUCUCACACGGUGGGAAAAAUCUACCUUUGGUAAUGUUAAAGCUGAGAUUAAACGCUUGAAUGUGGAACUUGGAAGGCUUCAAGCGGAUCCUAGUCGGACUGAGCCGACCCGAAUUGAAGUUAAGAUUAAAGACCGCUUGGUCGAACUUUAUCACAGGGAAGAAGUAAUGUGGCGUCAGAGGGCGCGCAUUACAUGGCUAGCAGCGGGAGAUAAGAGCACUAAAUUCUUCCACCUGCACGCUAGCAGACUACGUCUUAAGAAUAAAAUUAAGGCUCUCAUGAAGGAGGAUGGCACCACAACAGAUGAUGCAGAUGAGAUGGGGAAUUUGGUUACAGCUCUCUAUCGGGACCUCUUCACUUCAGAGGGUACAUCAAACAUGGAGAGGGUGAUUGAUACUGUCCCUUGCAAAGUGACCGAGGAGAUGAAUAAAAAUUGA
rnacentral:rRNA from 1 species